rnacentral:rRNA from 1 species
UUUAGUAUGGCGACCGGCGCACGGGUGAGUAACACGUAUCCAACCUGCCGAUGACUCGGGGAUAGCCUUUCGUAAAGAAAGAUUAAUACCCGAUGGCAUAGUUCUUCCGCAUGGUAGAACUAUUAAAGAAUUUCGGUCAUCGAUGGGGAUGCGUUCCAUUAGGUUGUUGGCGGGGUAACGGCCCACCAAGCCUUCGAUGGAUAGGGGUUCUGAGAGGAAGGUCCCCCACAUUGGAACUGAGACACGGUCCAA